UACCCGUAAUGAUAAUGAUCCCGA
rnacentral:miRNA from 1 species